CCAAAUUUGAUGAAGGGGAGAGUAAGGUAUAUUAACUGGUUACCAGCGAGUCAGGGAUGGUGGAAGCCUGAUAACCAUAAUAUAUCUGAAGCGCACCCCGGAGAAGUCAAUCUGAACCACUGAAGUAGGGUUGACCGGUACUUACCGUUAACAGAUUAAGCGGGUAUAAUUUUUAUAGUUAUACCAAGCAGAGUGGCACCACGGGAACAACUCUCGUCUCUAUC
rnacentral:ncRNA from 1 species